rnacentral:antisense_RNA from 1 species
CUCCACAUCACUCCUCAGGGAGGAAAUGAACGCCCAGGCAGGCAGAGCUGUGGGCAUCUACAGCAGGCCCUGUGCUGCUGUCACAACCUCACCCCGGUCCCCUGAGGCGGAUAUCACCAUCCCAUUUCAGAGACAAGGAAAAUGAGGCCCAGGUGCGUGAAGAAACUGGCCUAUCAAGGCAGAGCUAGUGGGUAGCAUGCUGGACUUCUAAGCCUUCCUGAGAAAGUGAACUGCUUCCUCUGAGAUGGGCAUAGGCAUGGCUGUGUGUGCAUCUUGUCCUGACCAUUCCACAGUGGCUGUUAUCACACUCCAUUUACAAGUUGGCUCAGAAAACCGGAGGUGAAGCUGAAGCAGCCCAGCUGGCCCUAAGAAGCCCUGGACGCUCCCUCCCAUCCUCACAUCGUUGAGUCAAUGCUAUUAUUUGAAUGUCUGUGUCCCCUCCAAAAUUCAUGUUGGAACUUAAUCCUUAAGGAGCAGUUUUAAGAGAUGGGGCCUUUAGGUCAUGAGGGCUCUGCUCUAUGAAUGGAUUAGUGUCUUAUAAAAGGGCUUGAGGGGGCCAGUUCCCCCCCUUCAGUCCCAUAUGCCAUGUGAAGACACAGUUCAUGGUGCCAUCUUGGAAGCAGAGAGCAACCCUUAACAGACACUGAAUAAGCCCGUGCCUUGAUCUUGGACUUCACAGCGUCCAGAACAGUGAGAAAUAAAUUUCUGUUGUUUACAAAUUA